UCCGAAUUGGUGUAGUGGCUAACAUUUGACGCUCUCACGAUCCACAACAUGUGCCGUCAAGCCCGGGGUUCGAUUCCCCGAUUCGGAG